rnacentral:rRNA from 1 species
AUUGAACGCUGGCGGCAGGCCUAACACAUGCAAGUCGAACGGUAACAGGAAGCAGCUUGCUGCUUCGCUGACGAGUGGCGGACGGGUGAGUAAUGUCUGGGAAACUGCCUGAUGGAGGGGGAUAACUACUGGAAACGGUAGCUAAUACCGCAUAACGUCGCAAGACCAAAGAGGGGGACCUUAGGGCGGCUUGCCAUCGGAUGUGCCCAGAUGGGAUUAGCUAGUAGGUGGGGUAACGGCUCACCGAGGCGACGAUCACUAGCUGGUCUGAGAGGAUGACCAGCCACACUGGAACUGAGACACGGUCCAGACUCCUACGGGAGGCAGCAGUGGGGAAUAUUGCACAAUGGGCGCAAGCCUGAUGCAGCCAUGCCGCGUGUAUGAAGAAGGCCUUCGGGUUGUAAAGUACUUUCAGCGGGGAGGAAGGGAGUAAAGUUAAUACCUUUGCUCAUUGACGUUACCCGCAGAAGAAGCACCGGCUAACUCCGUG